UAAUAAACAACAAUCCCAUGGCGCGGACACUGGUUUCCCCUUAUUGAUCUGUCAGACCCAGCAGAACGGAGGUGAGAGCGGAACGUGUUCCCCCGUCACCUCUUCCUUCCUUCCGAGGAAUUAAGUGAGAUGCCACCGAGGGCCAGACGAUAACCACUCCUGACACUUCACUCAUCUGAAUUGCAAGUGGAAAGGCAAAAGGGACAGGACUUGCUCCGGGGAACUGGGGUAAUUCUGGAAGGAGAGACCACGGGUCAGUAGACUGAGAUGAUAUUUGAAAGAAAUGCAGGGAAAACAGUAAGCAGAAAUGAAGAGAGGGCAGGUGAGCACGGUGCCCAACAGAAAAACAGAGACGAGCGAGAAGAGGAAGAAGUUAACCAUGAAGCAAUAGCUGGGUAUUUGAUGUAUUACAUGCAAAUGAGCCGCAGAGACGAGAGGAGUUGGCCACGUCUGUCAGUGCUGCGUUUUUUAGACAAGUGUGUGAAAGAUUCUUGUUACUGUACUAAAAUCACAAAUUCCAGGAAACUGAGGUGUUGUUUUUUUUUUACCUUUUCACGUUUCUGUUGGAGAUGCUUUCUCACUCUAGUGCUCCACAACGUUUGAAAUGAGUUUAACAUGAGGGUAAAAGAACAGUUGUAAAAUUAUGUUCUGGGUUGUUAAUAGUUUUUGUUUAGUAGGUUUGAAUAGUUUUAUUAGUAUUUAAUGAUUAAAAGAUUAAAAUUAACAACCAAGAUAAGAGAAACGUGUCCACACUUUAUUGAGAAUUAAAAGGAUUCUUUAACAGCUUUUUUUCUUAAUUUCAGACAAUAUUGAUAGACUGAGCGGAGAUUGGGAACUGUAACUUGGGCUGGAGUGCCUUGGCCAACCGUGUGAUUGGCUUCUGUGAUGUCAUGAACUACCACAGCUCUGCUAAGAAAGGCCACAAUAGAUCGAAGUGAUACUGUAUGACACAAAGACUUUUCUCCUCUGUGGAUUCUGACGUGUUCUGUCCUCAGAGAGCAGCGUUCUUUCUGCUUUGCUGCUGUCAGUGCAACUACCAGCGGACCUGAGGGCAGAGCAGACAGGUGCUCUUUGGCCAAGAGAGAGUUGCUCGAGCGACUGUUUAUCCUUCCCUGGGCUCGCACCGUGCCAAAAUAAAUGGGGUGGGAAUUAGUGUAAUACCCUGUAA
rnacentral:lncRNA from 1 species